ACUGAACGCUGGCGGCAGGCCUAACACAUGCAAGUCGAGCGGCAGCGGAAAGUAGCUUGCUACUUUGCCGGCGAGCGGCGGACGGGUGAGUAAUGUCUGGGAAACUGCCUGAUGGAGGGGGAUAACUACUGGAAACGGUAGCUAAUGCCGCAUAACGUCGCAAGACCAAAGAGGGGGACCUUCGGGCCUCUUGCCAUCAGAUGUGCCCAGAUGGGAUUAGCUAGUAGGUGGGGUAACGGCUCACCUAGGCGACGAUCCCUAGCUGGUCUGGGAUGAUGACCGGCCACACAGAAACUGCGAAACGGUGCAAACUCCUACGGGAGGCAGCGGGAGGGAAUAUUGCACAAUGGGAGCAAGCGUGAUGCAGCCAUGGCGCGUGUAUGAGGAAGGCCUUCGGGUUGGAAAGUACUUUGAGCGGGGAGGAAGGUGUUGAGGUUAAUAACCUCAGCAAUUGACGUUACCCGCAGAAGAAGCGCCGGCUAACUCCGUGCCAGCCGCCGCAGUAAGAC
rnacentral:rRNA from 1 species